CCCCGCCCCUUCGCCGUUCAAGCCCCGCCCCCCGGCCCACUGCACGGGAACGUGGCAGCGGCCCUUGAAAAGUGGCUCUCUGAGGACCGGUCACCGAACCGCUGUCCUAGCCCGCUAUGCGGUUGUCUGCGGGAGCCUGGGAGCAUCUGGACCGCUGGUGCAAGAGCGGCCUGGGAGGUCAUGCAGGACCUCAUCAGGAUUCAGGUGGCUAGUAACUCUGGACCCCAGGACCCUUGUAGUCCUCACUAGCCAGUCGUGCCUUGGGGCUGUAGACUCUUCCUCUUGUGAAGACAGCCUUUCAGACUUGGGCUGUGGGGUGGAAGCUAAACCUGGACCUGCUGCCUGAACUUCCCCCCAACUGGGCCUCCCACAAGGACCGUAGGCCUGCCAAGAAUAAUGGCCCAGGCCAAGUGAACCUGGCUCUGGUGUGGGCUUGUCUUUGGAAGGGCUGAAAGAACAGGAGACUGGAAGCCUUUGGAGCACAAUAAAUGAUUGCUGAACUUGACCUGA